UACGUAGGGUGCAAGCGUUGUCCGGAAUUAUUGGGCGUAAAGAGCUCGUAGGCGGUCUGUCACGUCGGCUGUGAAAACUCGGGGCUCAACCCCGAGCCUGCAGUCGAUACGGGCAGACUAGAGUCCGGCAGGGGAGACUGGAAUUCCUGGUGUAGCGGUGAAAUGCGCAGAUAUCAGGAGGAACACCGGUGGCGAAGGCGGGUCUCUGGGCCGGAACUGACGCUGAGGAGCGAAAGCGUGGGGAGCGAACAG
rnacentral:rRNA from 1 species